ensembl:lncRNA
AAAAAAUGUAUACACUAAAUUUGGGGUCUAUUUUGAGCACAGAUAUCUCUGUAGUGAUCUCUUCAGUUCCCCAACUAUGUUUUGUGUCACAGUGUGUAUGUCAUCCAGCCCUCUACUGGGCUUAUCAGGAUCUCCAUGUGUCUGUUGCAGCAACAGAAGAAUUUUGUGCACGCAUGCAUUUCUCUUGGUGACAGCAUGUUCAGGCAAGGUCUGUGGCUGAGGUGUUGACAGGACAGGAGGGUGAGAGGCAGGAGAGGAGAUGGGGAAGAAAGGAGAUGAGUAGAGAAGGGGAAGAGAUGAAGAGAGGAGAGGAAAGGGGAGGGGACAAAGAAAGGGAGGAGAGUUGAAGAGAGGAAAAGGGAAGGAACAUCAAAAGAAUGGGAGAAGACGAGAAGGGACGGGGUGUUACAAAGCUCCUACCUUUUAGAACUCAGAAAAGAAAAAGCUCAGGAACAGAGACACAGACACACCAGAUUUCAAAACACAAAGGAAACAAAAAAAAACAUUGAUUUCAAAAGGAAAGUGACAGAAGAAGUAGAACAGAAGAAAAAAUUGUUAAAAAAAGAAAAAGAUGACAAUUGGAAAGAGUUCCAGAAAGGGUUCUAUCAGGGCCCCGAAUUUCCUGGAUAAAACCUCUGGGUUCUAUGGUCGCCUUGAUGAGCCUGAGACAGUGGUGGGAGGAGAGGGGGGAAACAGGAUGACUGGGAUGAGAGAGGGAGACUUGGGGGGAUCGUGCCCAGCCACUGAGGUCUAUACAGGGGCAGAAGCCCACCAGGGAGAACAUGGGGUGUUUGACUUUAACCUGGGAAUGAUGGAAGAGGAUAAUACCACUCUGCUCCGGAGAAAAUCCAGCCGUCUCAGCUCGCGCUUGAGAAGAAGCAUCAGGAAGACAUUGCCACAGACGGUCUCGUCCAGUUUUGAUAUUAGUACAGAAAUGGAGACUGACACCCCUGUCCUGGAGGUCACUGCAGUGAAAGUGAAAAGCCACUGGAGGAGUAGCAACAGGAAGAAACAGCAAACUGAGUCCCAGAAAGUCUCCCCCAGGGAGGUAGACCUGACUCUGGGUGAGGAGAGAGGGAUAUUGACCCUAGGCCUGGAGGUCCUGGAGGUGGAGAUAAAGGUAGAAACUGAGGAAGGACAGAGGGAGGAAGAGGAGGGAAUGCUGGACACCCAAGAACCGACGGAUGACCAGGUUUUGAUAAAGGACAAGAAGAGAGGGAAACAAGAGGAAACUGAGGAGAAGAGGAAGAUUAAGGAACAGGAGGAGAAGAAGAAGAGGAGCACGCUGAAGAACUACCGCAAGGCUUUCGACCGAGCAUUCCGUCGAGGGUGGGAGAACUUCAUCACUAACCUCUACAGCGUGACACUUGCCCCUGUGUCACCUUCAUCUGCAUUGUUGUCAUCGUCAGCAACAUCAAAGGGAACCCAAUGUGACUCAGUGCUGGAAGAGUACAGAGUAAUCUGUAAAGACCAAAACCUUUACAGUAUGACAGCCAAACCUGUCUUAUAUUCAUCUUCAUCAUCAAAUGAAAUACACCAUGACUCAGUACUAGAAGAGUAUAGAUUAAUCUGUCCACAUCAGUAGUUCCAAUAAGAUUGUAUGAGUUGUUAUUUCAGACUGAAUCUUGAUUGGACCGAAUGGUCAUUUUAUAUUAUUGUGUGAAUGUCUCAAUCAGUCCAUCAAUGAAACAAUCAAUCAGUUGUUGAUUUCAUGACAGCAUUGAGGGCAGAGGGUUUACCAUCUCUGCUUUAUUUUUCAUAUCUAUUGUUUAACACUUUCUCACGGGGUAAAGAUCAGCCUGUAGAUAUCUAAGGGGUUAUAUGUCAUACACUUUAUUGUUAUGCAUACAGAAGGAUAGAGUUUGUCUUUAAACUGUGACUCAACUUUGGUAAACCUGCUUUUAGUUGCACCCAAUGUUUGAAAAUGUUUAGAGAUCCCUAGACCUGGAUGCACUCUCUGGACAGUUUAAAAUGUAGAUUGGGUAUCUUUAUCUAUAUUUCUUUACUUUAUGUAUAUGUAGCACUUUCAAAUGUGUGUAUGUGAAAAAGAGAAAGAGAUUUACCUUAGUGGACUUUAGAAUGAAGAGACCUGAUACAUUGUUCCACAAAUUAUGUCUAUUGAGCUGAAGCUUACCCUUGGUGCUGACAGGUGUCUUGAUUGUUUGAUAAAGAGGAAAAUGUAUCUAACAUCUGAGAGCACAAAACUGUCCAUCUCAGACUUAGGUUUUCUGAAAUUGUCUAAAAAGAGGUAACAUAUUUCAUACUAAAUGUAUUAUAUACAUCACUGUACACACUCUUCAGGAUAAUCUCAAAAUGUUUCUCCUAAACGUUUAUGUAGUGUGAAUGAUUGCCGAAAAUGAUAAUGUCCAGUCUCUUGCAGCAUUGAGGUAAUGUUCAGAACUUACUGAGCUGGAAAAUAAACAGUGUAAAAACAUAUUUUAUGUAGCCAACAAAAAGUGCCAAUAUAUUUAACAUUUUGAUAAUGCUUGUUGUGAAAUAAAAUGUGCUUUAGAAUAUAAGAGAAUUUCUAGAAUGUUUUUAUCCUCCUUAAAAAGAAAGCUUUUUUCCGUUUUAUAACAUAAGAUUGUUAUCAAACGUUUGCUUUUGUGCACAUUCUUCAGGGAAAGCUGAUUUUAAGUGUUUCAUUAUUUUUAUGAAUAAUUAAUUCGAAUCAUAAUCAUAAAUCUGUGAAAAGCGUCUUAAUCCUUUUAAAUGAAAUAAAUAUGGAAUACAAUUUAACUAAAAUAAAAUAUUGAAUUUAACUGAUUUAAAAAAAAAUCCACUUAAGUACUGUUAUAAACACAGAUGAUGAGGCUGCAUCACCUAAGGUUAGUACUGCAGUUGAGCACAGUGGGGACAAUGAAAAUCAGGAAGUUGCCUACAUUGUGCCUCACAAGGAAUCAAUUAAUUUUGAGACCAGCAAUGAUGGUCAUAAUAAUGACAACAAUCUUGCUUCCCAAACCUUUGUGGCUCCUUUGGUGACGUCAUCAUUCCUUGACGUCAGUGAGAAGAAAGUUUCUGCUGUUGCCACUACAGCUGGCAAUUCUGAACCAGUUUAUUUUGGAAGAAGAUGUGAGGACCCAAGAGAACCACUGCAAGAACCUGCUGCUGCAGUGAAGGCAAUGACAUUGUUCAAACAGAGGCCACCUAUUGUGAUCUCUGUUUCCAUUGAUGCGCAUGUCUUAAAACUGCAGAAUGCUGGAAACAGUUCUAAGGGGUUGGAUUGAUGUGGAAAUGUUUUUGUUAAUCGGUAUUUGGUGUGCAUGUGUGUUCAGAGGGAAGGAGGAAAUAUGGGGCUAUGGUCAAGGGAUUCGAAUUGGAAAAGAGCUGUUAUAUUUUUUGUUUUUCAAAAGCAUGGCAUGGAUGUAGUAGUUCUGGUAUUCAAUGUACUUCCACGCCCAAUCUGUUGUUGUUUUUAAAUGUUUAAUAUGAAAUUGUCCUAAACAGUAACUUGUGUUUUGUUCUGUUCUUUAUCUGAACUGUCAAUAUAAAAAAUACAUGUUGCGCUUGUUUUGAACAAAACAAGCAUCGAGGAUAUACCGCCAUCUACUGGAUAUUUAUUUUUAAAGACAUUGAAUGUUGGAUCUACAUGUAUAAAACAAAAUACAAAUUGUAAAAAAACAAUAAUAAUAAUAAAAAAAUAUUGAAAUAUAUGAAAUAAAACAGGUAGGCCAAAAACAGGACCUAAAGAAACAAAACAUGAACAAAUAAAAACAAGAGAAAGUUAAAAUUCCCAUCAAAAUCCACAAUCAUCGAAGACCCCACUAAUGGAUCUGGAUCAAGCACAGCCUCUAGGAUGUUAGAGAGGACCUUAGAUAUUCUAAACCAAUAGCUGUGCAAUGAGGCAGAGCUCCCUCUGCAGUAUAAUUGACACUUGUCACAUAGGGGAGAGGUAUAUACACUGAACAAAAUUAUAAACGCAAUACUUUAGUUUUUGCCCCC